CAGUAUUCAGCUCAGAUGAAGGUCAGAGAGGACAUACUGCCCAGUGGCAGCAUAGUGGCCAGAAGCAGGCCGUCAGGGGGCAGAAGCACCACAAGAGGCCUGUGCAGGCUAACCUAGUCCUGAGGUUCGGUCUAACAGAGUCAUGCAGGCUAACAGAGUCAUGCAGGCUAACAGAGUCCCGGAGGCUAACGGAGUCAUGCAGGCUAACAGAGUCAUGCAGGCUAACAGUGUCAUGCAGGCUAACAGAGUGAUGCAGGCUAACAGAGUCCUGCAGGCUAACAGAGUCCUGCAGGCUAACAGAGUCCUGCAGGCUAACAGAGUCCUGCAGGCUAACAGAGUCCCGGAGGCUAACAGAGUCCUGAGGCUAACAGAGUCCUGCCGUUGAACAGUCCUGCAUGCUAACAGCCUUGUCUUGUGUUGCAGUGUCUGGCCGUGUGGGAGACGUUCCUCCUGUCCCAGAAGACCCCCCCCGGCCAGGAGGAGGAUUGAACCGGCCCACCGAAUAAGGACCUCCCCCUCACAGACCAAGACUCAAAGUGCCAAAGUACACUGUGCCAUGAUCGGAUAAUAAAGUAUAACACACGCAAACGCACACACUCACGGGAACAAGCCAAAGAGCAGGGUGAACGCUAACCUCACUUCCAUGAUUCCUAACCUGGAUCCAACUUAGCUUUAGCAUUCCAAACACAAGGUGUUGGAUCAGGAAGACGCUGACUGCCUGACGUGUCUUCUGGGACACACGGCCUGUUGAUGAGGUCCUCAACCGGCCUGAUCCUGAUGCCAGCCAAUCAAACUAUGAUUCCGAAGUCUGGUCGAUCUGCCUAGCCCAGUUUUGGCUCGUCUGACAUUUCUCAGAGAUGGGAGGUCGGCCAGUCUGAAUCCAUUUGACUAAUGUUUUAUACUCUUUCGAUUGAUUCCUUUUAUUGUUUUUUGACUUGUAAAAAGGUAGACAUUUUAGUUGCUGAAAUGUAGCAAUGAAAUUAAAAGACACUUUGGUACAGGAAAAUGGAA
ensembl:lncRNA